GAAGAAGGGGACUGUUAUUCAGACUAUCACAGUGGCAUAGGAAAUUUGAGACAGAGCCAGUCAAGAAAUGAAACUUCCUACCUGCAGGCUUUUUAUACACCCACACGAGGGACUCCCCCUGCUGCCGUCUGCUGCCGUCUCCCUCUCACUAAGGAUACAGUGGAGGGGGACAUGCGGGGGAAGGACUGUCGUCUCCAGGCUCCCAUUGCGUUUGGAGAAGAAACGGCUGGGAGCCACCCUGGACCCAUCGCAUCCCCCACAACCUGAGAUCCUUGGACAGAUUCCUUGGUGCCUAGCCCCAAGGCUUACAGGAUCUCAGGUCUCCAACCAGGGACUGAACCUGUGUCAUAGCAGUGAAAGCAUGGAAUCCUGGCCACUGGGCUACCAGGGAACUCCCCUGAAGAACUUUCUUUGACCUUGAUCUUCUUGGGGCUCACCAGAUAUAUACCUAGGAGUGGAAUUGCUGGAUCAUAUGAUGGAAUUUGCACGUGAUGGUGACCCAGCUUCCAUCAUGCAGAUGAUCUUGAGGACCAGGAGGUCGGCAGAACAGAGACUGGAAGGAACCUGAAUUUCCAAAUAACCAUGAGGAGCAAAGCUUCAUUCACCUGGACUGUUCAUCUCACAACUGCUGCAUGAACAGAAAGAAAUAUAUUCUUUAAGCCAUUGCAUUCUGGGGUCUAUUUUAGCCUACUCUACCAAAUACAAUGAGUUUAUAGGAGUUAGCCACAUGGAGAAAUGGAAAGAGACAGAUUUCAAAGCAUCCAGUCAAGAGAGAGCAUUGAACUUCAAGAUGCAUGAAGCAGUGGCUGUGAAAAGGCUGCUAUAAUAAUACGAUAUCUCAGACAUUUAUUUCUCACAGUUCUGGAGGCAGGGAAGUCUAAGAUCAAGGGGCCUGUAGAUUCAGUGCCUGGUGAGAGCUCUCCCUGGCUUGCAGAAGGUUGCCUUCUCAUUGUGGUUUCACAUGGUGUGGAGAGGGAGCUCUGGUCUCUCCUCCUCUUCUCAUAAGGACACUCAUCGCAUCAUAGGGGCUCCACCCUCAUGACCUCAUCUAACCCUAGUCACUUCCCAAAGGCCCCACCUCCAAAUACUAUCUUAUUGGGAGUUAGAUCUUCACGAAAGGGGGAAGGGGGCACAAACAUUCAGCCCAUCACAGGUGGAAGGAAGGAAGACUGGGCCACAGCUUGGACCUUGUGUGCCUUGAGAGAAACUUGGAUGCAAUCCUGUGGACUGUGGGGAGCCAAGCUGGGGAGUGAUGUGAUCAGCCCCUCGUGCCAGCUCUGAGGGUCUCCCGUGGAAAGUGGAGAAGGAGGACCCCUCCUUUCUCUGUCAGGCUAUGCUUCUCUGCUUGACUAGCCCUCAGCGUCCGCUGGUGGCUGUGUACUUGGCUGGCCCCACCAAUAUGGGGUACCAGGGCAAGAAAUCCAACUUAAUCAGAGUCAGGGGGCUCUGGGAGCGACCAUAAGACUAGCCACACUCUUCAUCCUUGGCCAGAGCACCGUGGAGAGGAUCUGUGCAUGUGGAGGAAAAUGGGAAGGAGGAACAAGCAGGGCUGGCAGACCAGCUUAUGGGCAGUCCUUCCCAAAGGAACUGUCCUCCUAGGAAUGAAUCCUGUGUUCAGAAGCGCCUACUACCUCUGAAGAUGUUCUGGGAGCUUGGGUGGUGUGAGAGGAGUGGAGACACUGCCCCAGGAGAGAUGGGAUGGAAAAGCAGAGGCCUGGCAAGAAUCUGAGAACCACCCCAUGGAGGAAGAACGGACAGCGAUAAUAAACACAGCAGAGCCGGAGAUCUGAGUGGCCAGGA